GAUGAACGCUGGCGGCGUGCCUAAUACAUGCAAGUCGAGCGAACAGACGAGGAGCUUGCUCCUCUGACGUUAGCGGCGGACGGGUGAGUAACACGUGGAUAACCUACCUAUAAGACUGGGAUAACUUCGGGAAACCGGAGCUAAUACCGGAUAAUAUAUUGAACCGCAUGGUUCAAUAGUGAAAGACGGUUUUGCUGUCACUUAUAGAUGGAUCCGCGCCGCAUUAGCUAGUUGGUAAGGUAACGGCUUACCAAGGCGACGAUGCGUAGCCGACCUGAGAGGGUGAUCGGCCACACUGGAACUGAGACACGGUCCAGACUCCUACGGGAGGCAGCAGUAGGGAAGCUUCCGAAAUGGGCGAAAGCCUGACGGAGCAACGCCGCGUGAGUGAUGAAGGUCUUCGGAUCGUAAAACUCUGUUAUUAGGGAAGAACAAAUGUGUAAGUAACUAUGCACGUCUUGACGGUACCUAAUCAGAAAGCCACGGCUAACUACGUG
rnacentral:rRNA from 1 species